ensembl:misc_RNA Metazoa_SRP Metazoan signal recognition particle RNA
GCCAGGCAUGGUGGUGCGUGCCUGUAAUCCCAGCUACUCAGGAGGCUGAGGCAGGAGAAUCGCUUGAACCCAGGAGGCGGAGGUUGCAGUGAGCCAAGAUCCAGCCACUGCACUCCAGCCUGGGUGACAGAGCGAGACUCCAUCUCAA